rnacentral:tRNA from 11 species
UAGAAUGAAGCUCGCUGGAUAGAGUGUUUAGCUGUUAACUAAAAUAUUACGGGAUCGAGGCCCGUCAUUCUAG